rnacentral:lncRNA from 1 species
AAGAACUUGAGAGAAAAUCUAAUUUUCAGUUUGAUCAAACUAAGAGUGAAGUUUCUCUUGAUAAGGGGCAUUUCUGUAAUUCUGUUAAUUAAAGAAGUGAAACUUGAAUGUGCCGUACUUUAUCAAUUUCAUUAGAAUAUCUUUUUAUUACUUAAAUGUGCUAAGCUAACCAUCAAGUGCAGAAAAACAGGGUUAGAGUCGACCCCAAGUAGUUUGGAGUCGACUCUGAUACACUUGGCACGAAUUGGCAUGGUGUGGCACAAGCUUGGAACAUUUGGCACAGAGUUGGAGUCGACCUUGGCACACUCUGGCACAAAAUGGCACAGAUGGCACAGACCUUGGGUCGACCCUAGGAAACCUUGAGCCGACCCCAGGUUGAGUCGACCCCAAGACAUGAUGAGCCGACCCCAGUCAAAAGAGCCAAAAAAGCAACUCUCUGGAGUUCAUGAGAGGGUCGACCCCAGAUGAUCUUGAGUCGACCCCACUGAAGCUUGAGUC